CUCGGGCACAUCACGUGCGCGGCGCGAGCAGGCUGCGGUGGCCUCUGCGAGCUGUGUGCGCCUUAGGCCCGGCCCGGCCAGCGGGGGCCUGCCAGGAGAGCGCGGAGCAGGAGCCGAUGCGUGCUGGUUGCGGCCCUCCUUCGGCUCUGUGGAGCAAAGUCGCCAAAUAGGGCAGGGAAUGUUCAGCCCGCUGCUGGUCCAAGAAAUCGCACUGGGUCCGUCUGAGUUAGCUGGGGCAAUUUCAAAAGUGUGGGGGGGCGGGGUAACCCCCAAACCAUCACAACAUCCUUCUCCUGUUCCUGGAAUCCUGCCAGCUGACCAUCCCUGGACACGCAGCAUCUAGAAAUCCAGCAGCCUCGAGGCAGAGACCACCUCACACCAGGAGAAAAGGUUAGAGAAAACCUGUUUACCCAGAGACUGGGAACACUUAUCAUUCCCCUCGCAAGCCGGGAAGAUUCCAGCCUCACAGAGAUCCGAACACUGGGCAUAUGCUGUGACACAAUCUCGGGAGGGUGAUUAAUAAUUAAGGGCAACACAUCUAAGCAAGCUUUAAUUCCUUUGUAAUAUAAGUGACCUCUGCCUUAGAGCAGACUGCUUUCAGCCCCUGCUGGGCAAACAGCAUAGUUGUUAAGAGGCAUUAAGCCUGAGGGAAAUCUCUCUCUGUCUAUAGUUGGUAAUUUGAUAGUUAAUAAUCAAAUCCCUGUACAUAUAUCCUAAUUGUUUUCAUAAAUUUGCACAAAAGAACUAUUCAGUGGUUGGGGGUGGCAAAAGUUUGUAAAUAUUAAUUUUAAUAAAUAAUUUUUAUAAAAA